GCUGCUUUUGUCUCAGCAAACCAAACUUUAUAAGGACAUAUUCAUUGCUCCUGCAAUAUCUAAUUAACACUAGAGGUAGAAAAGUCGGGGGAGCAAAUCUCCUGAGGAGCAAAGACCAUUAUUUUCUGAUGCCAUGGAAGAUACCACCAAGUACAUCAGAAUAGGUUAUUGCAAGCGGCAGAAGACUACUGAUGCCAGGAGCCUAAAAAUGCAGCUUUCAACUAAUUUCUGAAUAUGCAGAAGGUGAAACCUGGUUGUAUUAAUUGUUACUUCUUGUAGUUACUGAUUUAUUAUAUAAAUGCUACUGAAGGGCCUCUAUUCACAGUGCUGUAACCUAUGGUAUUCCUAAUUCUUGUGCUUGAUGUGAAAUCUGUCCCCUCCUUUUUUCCUCUAGCAUGACUGAGUGAUGCAAGGAGGGGUUAGUUGCAAAUGAGAGACACAAAGUUGGCUCUAAAGAAAACCCAGCAGUGAUAUGGAGAGAUGCUUUUGGGAAGAGAUCCUCAUCAAGACCUUUGCAGCCAUUAGGAUGUGAUGGAGAAAAGCAAAGGCAAAAGGAGAAAGUUUUCUUCCAGGGGGAACUAGAGAAAGGGAACAAAAGUUGAGUAAGUGGCCAAAAAGCAGCUUAUUUCCAUGCUAGUGUUGAACCUUGGUUGUACUGAGCUAGAUGUUGAGAUGCAUCCCAAGCCGUUUUGACCCAAAUUCCAUGUCUCUGCAUUGAGCAGAGUAGGGGAGCAGGCCAUUUUGUCUUCAUUUGCUCAGCAGGAGAGAAUCAGAUUUACCAAAAAGAAAUCCCUGCUUAAGUGUUUGAGUGCUACUGCUAACAGCAAAAUGAAGUUGCAACUACAGCUGUAUUUCAAAUUUAGAUAGGAUUAGAGCUUCUUUAUGUUUUUUUUUUUUAUUUGUAAAAUCAGGAAACAAAGCUUUCACCUGCAGUAUCUAUAGCUCUGCUGUACCAUACAUGCGCCCUUAUAGUAAGAUUUGCUUUGGAAAAUAACUAUAGUCUAUUUAUGCAUAUGCUCAGCAACCCGUACUCAAAUUUAUGAAUUUUCUGAAGCACGUUGCUGGAUUGAGUCAACUAAUGCCAAGAAAUCCAACUGGUACGGGAGAGAUACAGUUUUCAAGCUGAAGAAUUGAUCUAUUUUCUAAUGGCUACUCUUGGACUGGUUUUUACCCUCUAGCACUGUCAGGUGUUCUGCUGACUGCCAGCAAUCUAUUUAUUGAUACAGGAAAUCCAUUUUGCCUUGCCUUGCUUUUAAU
rnacentral:lncRNA from 1 species